AAGCCAAAGCACAGACUGCAAAUGCUUAUAAGAGUCCAAGCAUUGAAUUUGUUAAGGACAAGUGUUUCAUUACCUAAGCACAACCAGUGGUGUCUAAACUAGAUCCCAUCCUUCAAGAUCAUUGGCAUAUCCAAGUUUGCAAGUUUUUUUCCAGCUUUCCACUACAUCAAUAUAUCAUUCCAUUUCUUGAAAUGUUGUUUUUUACCUUGUUCAGAAUGUACGCCAAAUGAAAUUUAAAGAAUUUCUAAGUGACAGCGUACAUAACAGAGCUUCAAGCAUCAGGAUCAGUGACUGAC